rnacentral:rRNA from 1 species
CUUUACAAUGCUGGCAACAGCGAUAAGGGAACCUCGAGUGCCAGGUUACAAAUCUGGCUGUCGAGAUGCCUAAAAGCAUUUCAUAGCAAGGGCCGGGCAAGACCGGUGCCAGCCGCCGCGGUAACACCGGCGGCCCGAGUGGUAACCGUGAUUAUUGGGUCUAAAGGGUCCGUAGCCGGUUUGGUCAGUCCUCCGGGAAAUCUGAUAGCUCAACUAUUAGGCUUUCGGGGGAUACUGCCAGACUUGGAACCGGAGAGGUAAGAGGUACUACAGGGGUAGAGUGAAAUCUUGUAAUCCCUGUGAGACCACCUGUGGCGAAGGCGUCUUACCAGAACGGGUUCGACGGUGAGGGACGAAAGCUGGGGGCACGAACCGGAUUAGAUACCCCGGUAGU